ensembl:lncRNA
GCUCCAGCCGCCCGCCGCCGCCGAGACCGCUGCGGAAAGCAGGAGGAGGGAAGAGGCGCCUGGACUGGUCUGUGGGAGCGGCCGUGCUGACCCUCCUCCCUUGGGCCCGGACGGGACCCAGGUUCUCCACCGCAACGCAGCUCCUGAGUGACGGAAUUUUGUGGGGGAAGCGGCGGCCACUACGCUCGCUUUUGGCACAAUAGCCCUUUGCGGGUGGGAGCUUCUUGCAGUCAGAGCUAAGGGAGAGGGAGUCCACCUGCAAGAGCCAGAGCUCACCCUUCUACUCUCCGAAUGCAAACUUAGCAAAUUGAACAGCGGAAGUACCUCCUUGGUCGGACCCCUGCUCUUCUAGGGGUCUUCUAGAAACGUGGCGGCUAUUAUACGCCCCGUGGUAUAACUGGCAUUUGGAAAAUCGGGGUGUUAUUCCAUUUGGAGUGGCCUCUCCUAUCCUCAACUCUCCCUGUGCUUCGACGCCUCUCUCAGAUGCCAUCUCCACCAAGAAAUUUUUCCAGGUACCCACCUGCGCCCGGAUUUGAUUUCGCCCUCUUUUGGACAGCCAGGGUGCUCUGAACUUUUCCACUGCCCCUUCCCGUGUAUGAGAGCGCCUUGUGAAAUGCAUGGGCCAUCGUUAGUUAUUUUUAUUGUACUAUGUAGUUUUGUAUUCAGUGCUGUAGUAUACAAGCAGAGAUAUUUAUGCUUUCACAAUACUUUUCACUUGUGUUUGAAUUCCUUAAACAUAAAGACUAUAGUAAGUUGCCCAUCUCUGAAAGUAAAUACUGAGGGGUACAUGGCAGGGUAAUCCGACCAGAUGACCUAGCCAGAAGUUCUAGCUGUCCUACUCAACUAUGUCCUCUGCAAGCCCAACAUGGUAGCCUUUCACCUGGAUUUGAAGGGGAAAAAUUGUAUUUCUCUUUGUGAAUGUAAUUAAAUUUUGGCAAAAGUCAGUCUAGUUACCACCAAAAAUUACGAGUUGGAGGGCGGGGAUGGGAGUGUUGAAACAAAGUUAAUAGUGGUAUUUUUUUGAUGAUGAAGUAAAUAUAUCUCUACGUAAAUAGUCAUUUGUUCGACCAAAACGAAAAAUAUUCAUCAAAUAUUCCCUAAUAAGUUGGUACUCAUUUCCUUAGCCACUUUAGAAAACACAAAUCGAAUAUAAUUGAUUAUAUAAAUUGUAUUUGCAUGAAGAUUUGAACCCAAGGACUAUAAGAAAGAUUCAAAUUUAAAAUUUUCUGCGUAAGAUACGGUUAAAUCAAAUGUUUGUAUAGUAUUUCCUAUACCUAAGUGUACGUUUUGAGUUGAGAGGUCAGUAGUGUUUAAUGGUUAAUAGUGUUAAGUAAACAACAGCUACGAAUCACUACAGUUAGCUUAGAACAAGUUGAGUUUAUGAACUCCAUUUUAAAGAACUGAGAAAUCUCAAACCAUAUGACUACCUUGACCAAGAAAUAAAGAAACAAAAUUAAACAGAUUCUUGCUAUUAAAAUUUCUGAAAAUUUUGAAAAAUGAAUUUUUAAAAUGAACAUAGUAUUUUUAAAAAGCAAAUAUUUUACAAAUCAUGAAAAAUGUACCUUAAGAUGUAAAAGAGUAAACCUCAGAGCUAAGGGCUUUUUUAAAAUGUUGUUAGUGAAACCUAUUCAUAGAAAACUUAAAAGCAUUCUUUGAAGUGAAAAAAAUUACUGUAAAUUUAUUAGGGAAAGUAUAGUAUCGUUGAACUCAAAUAGCUAUUUUAAACAUCAUAAUUCUGUGAGUAACAAGAAGAAGAAAAAAAAAA